GAUGAACGCUAGCUACAGGCUUAACACAUGCAAGUCGAGGGGCAGCAUGAAGUUUGCUUGCAAACUUUGAUGGCGACCGGCGCACGGGUGAGUAACGCGUAUCCAACCUUCCCUAUACUAGAGGAUAGCCCGGCGAAAGUCGGAUUAAUACUCUAUGUUAUUCAAUGCGGACAUCUAAGUUGAAUCAAAGAUUUAUCGGUAUAGGAUGGGGAUGCGUCUGAUUAGGUUGUUGGCGGGGUAACGGCCCACCAAGCCUACGAUCAGUAGGGGUUCUGAGAGGAAGGUCCCCCACAUUGGAACUGAGACACGGUCCAAACUCC
rnacentral:rRNA from 1 species